rnacentral:lncRNA from 1 species
CCUCCCCAGCCCCCCGGCUUGGGGGUCUCCAGGGCUGCCGGUGGAGCCGGGCGAGGGGGCCCCGAGCCCCCGGGGGGGGUCUCCUCCCCCUGGGCUGGUGCCUGCCCCGGUGCCCCCGCGCGGCCCCAGCCCCCCCAGCCCGCUGCAGGAUCCGGCCCUCCCCAGCCUGGCAGCCCAGGAGCCGCAGCAAGGGACCAUCAGGGAACCCGAGCAGGAGCCAGCCCGGAGCGACUCGGGGCACAACGGCAUCGGGGACCUCGGGCACGGGGGGUGGCCAGCCCCCUGGGAGCAGGACCCCCCGGUGCAGGGGGAUGAGCCCAGUGACACCAUCCUGCCGGAGCCGCUGCACAAAGCCAAGCCAGGCUUCGCCCUGCUGCUGGCCCGCGAUGCCCCCCACCAGCAGCUGCCUGCCGGCAGCACCCCCCCAGCCGAGGACGAGGACCUCUCCCCCCAUGCUGUGUAGUGGGGGGGACAGCAGCACGCCGCCCCCCCCAGCACCACCUACUGUGCCC